rfam:Draconibacterium orientale strain FH5T, complete genome.
AUUACAUGGAUGCCAGAAACCAUCAAAAACGGGGCGUUCCCGAAAAGCCAGAGAGUAGGAUAACU